CACGUAGGGUGCGAGCGUUGUCCGGAAUUAUUGGGCGUAAAGAGCUCGUAGGCGGUUUGUUGCGUCGGCCGUGAAAACUAUAGGCUUAACCUGUAGCCUGCGGUCGAUACGGGCGGACUGGAGUCCGACAGGGGAGACUGGAAUUCCUGGUGUAGCGGUGGAAUGCGCAGAUAUCAGGAGGAACACCGGUGGCGAAGGCGGGUCUCUGGGCUGACACUGACGCUCAUGCACGAAAGCGUGGGGAGCAAACAGG
rnacentral:rRNA from 1 species